rnacentral:rRNA from 1 species
UACAGAGGGUGCAAGCGUUGUUCGGAAUUAUUGGGCGUAAAGGGCGCGUAGGCGGUGCGGUAAGUCUGUAGUGAAAUCUCUGGGCUCAACUCAGAGUCUGCUGCAGAAACUGCCGUGCUUGAGUGUGGGAGAGGUGAGUGGAAUUCCCGGUGUAGCGGUGAAAUGCGUAGAUAUUCGCAAGAACACCAGUGGCGAAGGCGGCUCACUGGCCCGGAACUGACGCUGAGACGCGAAAGCGUGGGGAGCAAACAGG